UCAGGGGAACUUGUGCUAAUACCGUAUGUGCCCUUCGGGGGAANGNUUUAUCGGUAAAGGAUCGGCCCGCGUUGGAUUAGCUAGUUGGUGGGGUAANGGCCUACCAAGGCGACGAUCCAUAGCUGGUCUGAGAGGAUGAUCAGCCACAUUGGGACUGAGUCACGGCCCAAACUCCUACGGGAGGCAACAGUGGGGAAUAUUGGACAAUGGGCGCAAGCCUGAUNCANNCCANGCCGCGUGAGNNAUNAAGGUCUUAGGAUUGUAAAGCUCUUUCACCGGUGAAGCCAAGAAGGNCCNGCA
rnacentral:rRNA from 1 species